UGCAUACAAAUUGCCUGUGGAAGUUGAGCAUCUCGUUCUGGAAUCGGCAAAGGUUGGAACAAAUUCAAUCAAUUGCAUAAUGUGAUUUAGCGACGUGAUUUAGUGAAGCAAUUGAGCAAGCUUCAAUGUCAGGGUCUAUACUCUCUAUUUCUUUCCACCACAAAGGAAAAUUUGCGGAUUUGAAUUGUGACUGUUAUAAGGGGAGACAAAUAGAUGUGGUACAUGAUGUAGACCCUGAUAAAUGGUCAUAUUUUCAAGCUGUAGGACUAGUGAGAGAUUUAGGUUACGAAGGGGAAAUAAGAAUGUGGUGGAAAGGUAAAAAUGAUACUUUAAAAGAUGGUUUAAAACAACUGUUAAAUGACAAGGAAGCUACAAAACUUGCAAAUUUUGCAGAAAAUAACAAGUUCAAGGUUGAUGUGUAUGUUGAUAAAAUGGGAGAAGAUGUUGGCGAUGUUGUUCUUCAAACUGGUGCGAAGGAUAAGGGGCCUUAUAAAGGGGAUGGGAUCGAUGAUAUUGAUAGUAGUGAUGAGUUAGUUAAGAAUGUCCAUUUUGAUGAUAGUGAAAGAGAGAUCUUGGAAUUGAUGAUUGGUUUGGAUUGCAAGAGCUAGUAGCAACUGAGUUUCUUCUAAAAAAUACAAUUGAGGAGGUGAAAGGUAAGUGUAAGGAAAAAUUUCCAUGUAGGGGGAAUGUUAAGAUCAAAACAAUGCAGAAUAUGACUCCAAGUUUAGUGCAAUCCAACUUUAAUGAAGGAGCUACUAGUUUUCAAACUGAUAUGUCAAUAGAUAUGGUUGACACAACUAACAUUAGUAGAGUAUAAUAGUGAAGAAUUAAAGUCUGACUUGGAAUAUGAUUUAGAUGAAGGUGACAUGGAUCGAUUGCCAAAGUUUCCAAAGUACAACAAAGAGGACAUGUGUAAGUCCUUCAAAUUUAAGUUAGGAAUGGAAUUCACAUCACUAAAAGAGUUCAAGGAAGUUGCUUGUGAGCAUUUAGUUUUGAACGAAUGUCAAAUAAAGCUUGUAAAGAAUGACUCAAGAAGAGUAAGGGUAAUUUGCACUAGAAAUUGUGAUUUCCUUAUGAAUGUGAGCAAACCACGUGACAAAGAAACAUAUAGGAUGCAAACUUUAAUUGGGAAACAUAAUUGUCGAAGAGUUUUUGAUAACAAGAAUGCUACGACAGAAUGGAUUGCUAAGAUACUUACUGAAAAAUUUAGGAAUGCCUCUAACUUGACUGUCCAUGAGAUUAUGGAUGACAUGAGGAAACAAUACAGUACUGGAAUAACAGAAUGAAGGGCUUAGAAAGGAAGAAAAAUAGUGAAAGAUAUUAUGGAAGGUGAUUUCAGCAACCAAUAUUCACUACUAUGGUCAUACGGUGUUGAACUUAGAAGAGUGUGUGUAGGGACCACCUGUAAGUUACAGCUUGAACGAACAACUGGUUUCUUUCAACCAACAUUUGGAAGCUUUUACUUGUGUUUAGACAGAUGAAAAAUGAUUUUUUUGGCAGGUUGCGGACCAUUCAUUGGUGUUGAUGAUUGUCAUUUAAAGACCAAAUUUGGAGGGCAAUUAUUAAUAGUGGUGGGACAAGAUCCCAAUGAUCAAUAUUUUCCAUUUGCUUUUGCAGUGGCAGAGAAUGAGACAAAGGAGUCAUAGAGGUGGUUUCUAACAUUACUUUUAGAAGAUAUUGGUGACAUUACAACCUAUAGAUGGGUAUCAUUUCUGACCAACAAAAAGGUUUGAUCUCAGUAUUUGAAGAGCUCUUAGAGGGAACUAAACAUAGAUAUUGUUUGAGACACUUGUAUUGUAACUUAAAGUAGAAGUUUGGGGGAGGAACAUUAAUUAGGGAUAUCAUGAUGGCAGCAGCCAAGGCUACAUAUGUUGAGGCAUGGGAUGAGAAAAUGGAUGAGCUUAAGAAAGUGAAUGAGAAGGCAUGAGUGGUUGAGUGCAAUUCCCACAACAACAUGGUGCAAGCAUGCCUUUAGUUAUUAUCCUAGGUGCGAUGUUUUGAUGAAUAAUCUUAGUGAAUUCUUCAAUAGCACCAUUUUGUUAGCUAGAGAUAAGCCUAUCAUUAAAAUGUUUGAGUGGAUUAGGGUGUAUAUCAUGAAUAGGUUUGUUGCAUUAAACGAAAAAUUAGGGAGGUAUAAGGGUAAUGUUAUAUGCCUAAGCCUAGAAAGAGACUUGAUAGGAAAAUUGAGAAAAGUGGAAAUUAGUUAGCCUCGUGGUGUAAUGUUUCAAAAUUUGAAGUCACUCACAUGGUUGGGAGGGAUAGAUUUGUCAUUGACAUUAAAGCACAGUCAUGUUCAUGUAACUUUUGGGAGUUGGUUGGGAUCCCUUGUAGGCAUGUAGUGGCUACCAUUACGUAUUCGGGAGAAGAUCCAAAAUUUUAUGUGCACAAAUAUUACUAAAGAGAGGCAUAUAAAAAAUGCUAUGGCCAGUUCAUUGCACCUAAUAACGGAGAGCGUUUAUGGCCCAAGACUGAUAAUGAACCUAUUUACCUCCUACUUACAAACGUGGACCAAGAAGGCCUAAGAAACUACGAAUAAGAGAACUAGUUGAAGAUUCAACAGCCACUAAACUAGAAAGGUCAAAUACAAGGAACGGAUGUAGCAAGUGCCACAAGGUAGGCCACAACGCUAGGAAAUGUAAGCUACCUCCACCUGUUCUAGAUGAUGUGACUAAGACUAAAACUAUCAUAAACAAUGCACCAGUCGAUGUUUGUUCCCAAAAUCAAGUUGCACCAACAACAAAGGGCAUAGUAAAUGUUAAUCCUAGUCAUGAUAAUACUGCAAAUACAAUUGUUGCUACAACUAUUGGAAAUGCAAUUGCUACUGCAACUAUUGGAAAUGCAGUUGCUAUGGUAUCAAAUAUUGACUACUGGAAUGCAACCAACUAUGAUAUAUAAUAUGCUAAUUUUUUUUCUACUAUUGUCACAACACUUACUUAAUGAUAAUGCUAGAAUUGAUUUGACAAAGAAUGUUGCAAGUGUUGCUGGUCCACAUGUUUCACUGCCAAAGAGGAAAAAUGAAGUUGCUAACAUGGAGGUAACUAGUGUUUCAAAGAAAGCUAAAACAGGGAAGAAAAACUUAGGGAUUGGUGCACUUGCUACAGGAAAAAACAACAAUAACUAGGGGACUGAUAAAGGAGCAGAUGAUGGGUCUACAUUAGGAAAAUAAUGAAAGAUUAUGCUGUUAUAGAUCACUAGUUCUAGAACCUUGUUGGAUUAUUUUUUGGAUAUGCAAGUUGUGUACAACAAUUGAAUAUAAGGCUUUGAUUUAGUUGACGGGUAUAAAUCGUAUAGGAUUUAUUUUUUGUAUUUUGCACAAUAAUUGCUUUUAGAUGGCAUAAACAAAUACCAUUUAUUUUGCAUAGGUAAUACAAAUUGUAUAGGAUUUUCUUUUGUAUUUUGCAAAGCAAUUUCUUUCAUCACCAAU